rnacentral:rRNA from 1 species
GGGAAUAUUGGACAAUGGGCGAAAGCCUGAUGCAGCAACGCCGCGUGCGGGAUGACGGCCUUCGGGUUGUAAACCGCUUUCAGCUCCGACGAAGCGCAAGUGACGGUAGGAGCAGAAGAAGGACCGGCCAACUACGUGCCAGCAGCCGCGGUGAUACGUAGGGUCCGAGCGUUGUCCGGAAUUAUUGGGCGUAAAGGGCUUGUAGGCGGUCCGUCGCGUCGGAAGUGAAAACUCAGGGCUUAACCCUGAGCCUGCUUCCGAUACGGGCAGACUAGAGGAAUGCAGGGGAGAAUGGAAUUCCUGGUGGAGCGGUGGAAUGCGCAGAUAUCAGGAGGAACACCAGUGGCGAAGGCGGUUCUCUGGGCAUUUCCUGACGCUGAGAAGCGAAAGCGUGGGGAGCAAACAGG